rfam:Drosophila melanogaster chromosome 3L.
UUUGUUUUAGUACGUAGGCUUAUGAAUAGGGCUUAUGAAUCGUGCAUGCCACCUACGGACGGUAGGUGGUAUCUUUAGAAGAUUUUAAUU